UCGCUGAUAGAUUAUGUUUAGAUUGUUGGUCUUGUAAGCCAGAGGUGGAAGUAAGUUUCCUUAGUGGU
rnacentral:tRNA from 1 species